GAAAAUGGGAGGCAGAGGGGAAGAGCAUGCAGUCAGCACUUGGUGAUCCCUGAGCCAAACUCCACAGCCUCCUGCCUUCUGGCCGGUGACAGAGAUUACCAUCUGGGGGAAGAGGCAGACACAGAUGCCAGCCCAGCCAGGUGGAAGAUAAUAUAUGUUAUAAUAGAGACAUCUUCAAAGGCAAGCACUGCCAUUUUUCAUGAAAAUGCCUCUGGCCAAUGUGAACUCCAUGACACCAGGGACUUCAGCUGUCUUAAUUAGUGUUAUAGCCCAGCAUCCAGCCUAGGGCCUGGCACAUGGCAGAUCAGGGCUUGAGAUAUUUUGCAGACCCUGCACCUGACGGAUCAGCUGGCACCACCCAGAUCAAUAAACUGCCUCAUCUGAUCUGGCGGCCCCCGCCCAGGAACUGACUGAGCGCAAGAAGACAGCUCCAACUCUAUAUGAUUUCAUCCCUGACCAAUCAGCAUUCCUGGCUCACUGGCUUCCCCCCACCCACCAAGUUAUCCUUAAAAACU
rnacentral:lncRNA from 1 species